rnacentral:rRNA from 1 species
UGGCGGCGUGCCUAACACAUGCAAGUCGAGCGAGGAGAUUCCUUCGGGAUGAUCCUAGCGGCGGACGGGUGAGUAACACGUGGGCAACCUGCCUCAUAGAGAGGAAUAGCCUUCCGAAAGGGAGAUUAAUACCUCAUAACAUUGCAGUUUCGCAUGGAACAGCAGUUAAAGGAGUAAUCCGCUAUGAGAUGGGCCCGCGGCGCAUUAGCUAGUUGGUGAGGUAACGGCUCACCAAGGCGACGAUGCGUAGCCGACCUGAGAGGGUGAUCGGCCACAUUGGGACUGAGACACGGCCCAGACUCCUACGGGAGGCAGCAGUGGGGAAUAUUGCACAAUGGGGGAAACCCUGAUGCCAGCAACGCCGCGUGAGUGAUGACGGCCUUCGGGUUGUAAAGCUCUGUCUUCAGGGACGAUAAUGACGGUACCUGAGGAGGAAGCCACGGCUAACUACGUGCCAGCCGCGGC